rnacentral:misc_RNA from 2 species
UAGACUUCAUCUAAUCGGGUUUCCGAUCUAGGUGGUUUGGACGUGUGCCAUAUUAUUUGGCUCGUCUUAAAUGUCUAAGUGGAAUGCGUAAUAAGUUUUUCGUAACCUCCACUCUAAUACACUUUAAG